UGGGGAAUUUUGGACAAUGGGCGCAAGCCUGAUCCAGCCAUGCCGCGUGAGUGAAGAAGGCCUUCGGGUUGUAAAGCUCUUUCGGCGGGGACGAUAAUGACGGUACCCAAAGAAGAAGCUCCGGCUAACUUCGUGCCAGCAGCCGCGGUAAUACGAAGGGGGCUAGCGUUGUUCGGAUUUACUGGGCGUAAAGCGCGUGUAGGCGGACUUGUAAGUUGGGGUGAAAUCCCGAGGCUCAACCUCGGAACUGCCUCCAAAACUACAAAUCUGGACCUAAGUAGAGGCAAGUGGAAUUGCGAGUGUAGAGGUGAAAUUCGUAGAUAUUCGCAGGAACACCAGUGGCGAAGGCGACUUGCUGGACUUAUGGUGACGCUGAGACGCGAAAGCGUGGGGAGCAAACAGGAUUAGAUACCCAAGUAGUCCCUGAGCGGGCUGGCAAGGCGCAU
rnacentral:rRNA from 1 species